CCUACGGGUGGCAGCAGUGGGGAAUAUUGGGCAAUGGGCGCAAGCCUGACCCAGCAACGUCGCGUGAAGGAAGAAGGCUCUCGGGUUGUUAACCUCUUUUUUGAGGGACGCAAAAAGUGCCGCUACUUCAGGAAUAAGCCACGGCUAAAUACGUGCCAGCAGCCGCGGUAAUACGUCGGGGGCAAGCGUUCUCCGGAUUCAGUGGGUGUAAAGGGCGUGUUGGCGGGAAAGGAAGGCAGGUGGGAAAACUCAGGGGUCAACCCUUAGCCUGCAUUUGAAACUGUUGUUCUUGAGUGCUAGGGAGGCAUGCGGAAUUCGGGGUGUAGCGGUGAAAUGCAUAGAUAUAAGGAGGAACAC
rnacentral:rRNA from 1 species